CCCUGAUGCAGCGACGCCGCGUGGAGGAAGAAGGUCUUCGGAUUGUAAACUCCUGUUGUUGAGGAAGAUAAUGACGGUACUCAACAAGGAAGUGACGGCUAACUACGUGCCAGCAGCCGCGGUAAAACGUAGGUCACAAGCGUUGUCCGGAAUUACUGGGUGUAAAGGGAGCGCAGGCGGGAAGGCAAGUUGGAAGUGAAAUCCAUGGGCUCAACCCAUGAACUGCUUUCAAAACUGUUUUUCUUGAGUAGUGCAGAGGUAGGCGGAAUUCCCGGUGUAGCGGUGGAAUGCGUAGAUAUCGGGAGGAACACCAGUGGCGAAGGCGGCCUACUGGGCACCAACUGACGCUGAGGCUCGAAAGUGUGGGUAGCAAACAGGAUUAGAUACCCUGGUAGUCCACACUGUAAACGAUGAUUAUUAGGUGUUGGAGGAUUGACCCCUUCAGUGCCGCAGUUAACACAAUAAGUAAUCCACCUGGGGAGUACGACCGCAAGGUUGAAACUCAAAGGAAUAGACGGGGGCCCGCACAAGCAGUGGAGUAUGUGGUUUAAUUCGAAGCAACGCGAAGAACCUUACCAGGCCUUGACAUCCCGAUGACCGGUCUAGAGAUAGACCUUCUCUUCGGAGCAUCGGAGACAGGUGGUGCAUGGUUGUCGUCAGCUCGUGUCGUGAGAUGUUGGGUUAAGUCCCGCAACGAGCGCAACCCUUAUGGUCAGUUAUUACGCAAGAGGACUCUGGCCAGACUGCCGUUGACAAAACGGAGGAAGGUGGGGAGGACGUCAAAUCAUCAUGCCCUUUAUGACUUGGGCUACACACGUACUACAAUGGCGUUAAACAAAGAGAAGCAAGACCGCGAGGUGGAGCAAAACUCAGAAACAACGUCCCAGUUCGGACUGCAGGCUGCAACUCGCCUGCACGAAGUCGGAAUUGCUAGUAAUCGCAGAUCAGCAUGCUGCGGUGAAUAAGGUCCCGGGCCUUGCACA
rnacentral:rRNA from 1 species